UGAUGGUGUUUUUAUUUUUGUCAGUUUAAGUCAUGAUUUUAUUUAAAAGCAAUACGAGUCAACACGCAAGAGCACGUACACAUAAUACAAUUCUUCGGUGUAUGUCUAGAUCUAGAUUAUUAUUGAUUAGGCCUAUAUAAAGAUUUCAAUUUGCAUUGUGAGAGCCAGGACAGAUCACCAAAGACAGUCACCAAAGCAAGAAUAAGUCAUCUAUAGGCUUACUGGAUGAACUAUAUCUAGAGAUCCAGAUUUAGACCAUUCAUUACUCAAAUGACUUUUCAACUUUUAAACACAGUAUAUAUUUCAUACGUUCACUGAUUGGUUUCAUGACUUAAAAGAAGUUUUUCACUUUUUUACAAGUAGCUUUGAAUGUUUUGAAAGAAUUUCCAAGGAAUCACAAUUUAUCUUGCAUCACUGUUGAGUUGCCCUUUCUCUGAGGAUGAAUUUAAUUUGAAUACAUUUUGUCAAGGAUCUAACAAUUUAGCAAGCAGGGAUCUGGCUUCAAUUUAAUGAAUUUGUGUUAUUGACUUCAAGUCUUGACAGAACAAUGGCAGAUCAUUUCUUAGUUUCUAAAUUCAAGUUCCUGAUUCUUCAUCAAAUGUCAGACAGAAAUCUCUGAAGAUAGUUUUACAAGAGUAUCACAGUUCAAUUUAUCACAUUCCAUGUUAUUGGUAUGAAGCCUCAAUAUGUCUCAAGAGAACUGUACAUUCAAAGAAACUUUAUUUCUACACACAAGAUAUCAGCCCUGACCGCACUUCAAACUUUGUUUCAACUAUUGUAUUGUUUAAAUCUUCACCACCACUAUUAUUUUGACCUAUGUAGUCAUCUAGUCUGUUAUAUCUCUACAUGGACAUAUCUAAGUUAUCAUAGCUACUUUAAAAAACGAAUUGUCAGCAUGUAAAACAAUAGUUUAUGUUCAACUCAUAUCCUGUAUAAUCUCAACUCUUAGAGUUGAACUGUCCAUUAGUUAAAAAUAGUUGUCACACCAUUUUUGUGCUAGGAUUUCUUGUAUGCUAUAGAAUAUGCAAGUAAUACCUAACUAGUCAAUACACACGUUUGGAUUUCUUGUAAAAUAUAGAUUCCAUGCAGCAAGUUACAACCAGCUUUUACACAUCUUCAGUCAGUUCUCCUCUACUACUUUCUGGAGUUUCAGUUUAUGCAUACAUGUUUAUUGCUAUAUUUUGUAAACAUAAUGGUGUAACUCAAUCUCUUUGAGUACAGACUUGAAAAAUGAAGUGCUUUAUAUAGAUUUUUAAACUUAUUAUAGAAACUUCUAUUACCUGUAUUUUUAAUAACUACUUGUAAUUUUGAGUUUUCUUCAAUUACUUACAAAAUCAUUGUAAUAUAAGUUCUAGAUAAUUUCAUCUAAAAUCUUAAUUCUUCCCACAAUUUUCCAAUUAGAUUUCUAUUUUUCUUAAUUUUUUAUAUUUUCUUUGUCACCUUUCUAAUAAACUUCCAAAUUAUAAGUUAUAAUGGACCACAUUUGAAUGUACUGCAUUCUUAUAAAGUGACUACUUCUACAGAUGAUCACUUUUCUGUUCAUUGUUUGUUGAAAUGUGCAAUUUUUGUAGUCAUUAUUUGAACUGUCAUUUUAUUACUGAAUCAUUUCAGAAAUUGUGGUCUGAAUGGUGCCAAAAGUAAUGUUUAUUUCACAAUGAAUCCAUCUCUUUGCAAAUGUUCUAUCACACUUCUCUGGUCAAUCAUUUAUUAUUCAUGCCAUUAUUUUUGGCAUAUACAAAUCUUAAAUUAUAUUUCUAGUGCACAUUGCAGCUAUUUCUGUACUCUAAUUAUUGCCAAGAAUAAUUUAGUUACUUCAAACCAGCAGUUUUCUUUUCAAAAUCUAGAUCACUGCUAUUUUUCAUUUUCUUUGCAUAGCCUAAAUCCCUUUUUUUAAACUAGCCAUUGUCUUUGCUAAGUCUAGAUCACUGCCUUUUUAAAUGACAUUUUCUAUGCUAAGGCUAGCUCACUGCCUUUCUAAAAUAAGCCAUUGUCUUUGCUAAAUCUAUAUCACUGCCUUUUUAAAUGACAUUUUCUAUGCUAAGGCUAGCUCACUGCCUUUCUAAAAUAAGCCAUUGUCUUUGCUAAGUCUAGCUCACUGCCUUUCUAAAAUAAGCCAUUGUCUUUGCUAAAUCUAGAUCACUGUCUUUUUAAAUGACAUUUUCUAUGCUAUGGCUAGCUCACUGCCUUUCUAAAAUAAGCCAUUGUCUUUGCUAAGUCUAGAUCACUGCCUUUUUAAAUGACAUUUUCUAUGCUAAGGCUAGCUCACUGCCUUUCUAAAAUAAGCCAUGAUUUUUGCUAAAUCUAGAUCACUGCCUUUUUAAAUAUCAUCUUCUAUGCAAAGCCUAGAUAACUAGGCCUACUUUUCUAAAAUAAACCAUUGUCUUUGCUAGUCUAGAUCACUGCUUUUUUAAAUAUCAUCUUCUAUGCAAAGCCUAGAUCACUGCCUUUUAAAUAUCAUCUUCUAUGCAAAGCCUAGAUCACUGCCUUUCUAAAAUAAGCCAUUGUCUUUGCUAAGUCUAGAUCACUGCCUUUUUAAAUGUCAUUUUGUAUGCAAAGCCUAGAUCACUGCCUUUCUAAAAUAAGCCAUUUUCUAUGCAAAGUCUAGAUCACUGCCUGUUUAAAUAUCAUCUUCUAUGCAAAGCCUAGAUCACUGCUUUUCUAAAAUAAGCCAUUCUCUAUGCUAAGUCUAGAUCACUGCCUUUUUAAAUGUCAUUUUCUAUGCAAAGCCUAGAUCACUGCUUUUCUAAAAUAAGUCAUUUUCUUUGCUAGUCUAGAUCACUGCUUUUCUAAAAUAAGCCAUUUUCUUCUCUUAAUUUCUUUCUGCUCAAUGAUAAUGUCAUUUUCUUUGCAAAGUCUAGAUCAUUGCUUUUCUAAAUGUAUACAUUGCUACACAUUCAAUUGUAACUAUUGGUAUAAUUGCUUCAAUUCCUCUCCCCAAAGUAAAAUUUUAGUGAAUACACAUAAAUCUACACUUUAAAAAUCUAGUGACAUGUGCAUUUUUAUUUGGACCCAAACCCCUAAUAAACAGAAUUAUUUUUAUUUCUGUAAUGUGUAGCCUGUUAAGUGACAAGUAUUAUGCAUUCUGCACUACUGAAGCCAUUUCCUUGUCAAUUUCUAUGCCAUUGUUAAAGUCUAUGUUAUGACAUAGUGUCAACUAUUUUGUCUUGACAGACAUUUUAGUCUGUAUUUAAAUAUAUCAAAUCAAAUGAAAUAUUCAAGUAAUGUCUACAAGUUAAAUACAAUCCUUAUACAAACAUGCAAAGUCAACCAUUUUCUGCUUUGAGAAUAAGUUUAAGCCAAUCAUCACACACAUCAUGUUGACUUAACAAAACCCAAUUAAACAAGAUGUGAACUUAAAAGAAUACUUCUGUAAUGAAAAAAUGUUCUAAGUUUAGAAAUGUAAUACUAUAGUGUCCUGAGUAUGACGUUAAACUGCUCCUCUUUGUUAGUUACUUUUGGAGCUCAAAAGUUUCUUUUUCUUUCUUCUUACCAGUCUGUCUCAUCUUCUCUAGUGUCUGUCUCAUCUUCUCUAGUGUCUGUCUCAUCUUCUCUAGUGUCUGCCUCAUCUUCUCUAGUGUCUGCCUCAUCUUCUCUAGUGUCUGCCUCAUCUUCUCUAGUACAAUGUCAUGAAUUAUUUACACUCAGUACAAUGUCAUGAAUUAUUUACACUCAGUACAAUGGCAUGAAUUAUUUACACUCAGUACAAUGGCAUGAAUUAUUUACACUCAGUACAAUGGCAUGAAUUAUUUACACCCAUCAAUGUCAUGAAUUAUUUAGUAUUUAUACUUAUGUAAAGUAUCCAAGUAAUUGUGAAAUAAAAUCUCUUCAGACCACAUGGAUAAGGUUUUAGAAUUUUUAAGAAAAGGAAGACAGAUUGUUAAGUUGGCAGACACUUAAGUGUAUAUAGUUAACAUUUUGUAUUUUCCCUUUAUUAUUUGUAUUUGUUUUUAAUUGGUCAUUAAAACUUGUACUUAGCUUAGUGAAAGAACAUAACAAAUUGUUAGCUCAAUCAACUCAGGCACAUAAAGUUGAAUCUAAUUGUGUGUACACCUUUGAACAUGUCAUAUAAAACAUCUGUACUGAUUGUGGUCUAGUUUCCCUAUAAUGUUGUUUUAUUUUAGAAGAGUUAACUUGUGUAGUGGAUGGUAGUCUCCUGUAGAUAAGUUUAUAUAAGUGGUGUGGCCGGCAACACUGCUUAUAUAGAUGAAUCCUCAGGGACUUCACUUUCCCUGUACAGUUGAUGAUUCAAAGAUUGUACAGCAAAGUUGAGUGAAACUGACCCAUCUCUACUUAUAUCCGUACUAGUUAACUUAAUAUAUCAGCCAAGUUCAUAGCACCAAUUGAAAGAUGCAAACUUAGACUCUUAGGUACACUUGUACACUGUAAUAUUUGAGUUCACUCAUACUGUUAUAUCAGAUUUUUCUAUAAUAAACUUGUACCCCUUAUCCAUAAACUUGUACCAUUAUACAUGAGUUAACUUCUGAUAUUAUCUUUAGAUUACUUGUAUAUUAUUCCCUUGAGUUUACAUGUACUGAUAAGACAGUUUACUUUAUAUUAUUACCUUGAGUUUACUUUAUAUUAUUACCUUGAGUUUACUUUAUAUUAUUACCUUGAGUUUACUUUAUAUUACCUUGAGUUUACUUUAUAUUAUUACCUUGAGUUUUACUUGUUACACUGAGUUUACUUUUGUACCAAUUUUACACUGAGUUUGUGUAACAUUACCUUGAGUUUCUGUGUAACAUUACCUUGAGUUUCUGUGUCGUAUUACCUUGAGUUUCUGUGUAAUAUUACCUUGAGUUUACUUGUACUUCCUUUCAUUAUAAAAUCUAAUUUCUCUAUUAUUGACCUGUUUCUCUAUUAUUGUUACUUAAAAAUGAUGUUCUUUCUGUUGAAUAAUAUAACCUGUCAAUUUGUACACUUUUCAAAGUAUUGGAUUUAUAUAAACUAUUUUUUGUUUUUACAAUCUACUGUUAUUCAUACAACAGUCCUUGACACUUUUUUUUUUCUGUUACUACAUUGUAUACAUAGUCAUACUACAGUCAUUGACACUACAAAGUAUACAUAGUCAUACUACAGUCAUUGACACUACAAAGUAUACAUAGUCAUACUACAGUCAUUGACACUACAAAGUAUACAUAGUCAUACUACAGUCAUUGACACUACAAAGUAUACAUUGUGUGUAUUUUGUUGACUAGUCUUUUGAAAGAUACGUGAAAAAAGCAUUAAUUUAUGUUAAUAAGAUUUAUGCUUAAAUUGCUUCUAUCUUUCCACGAGACACUAUUCCACAUCAGACAUAAAACUGGAUAGAAUCAUUAGGCUUCACUCAACACCAUCACACACAUUAUUGUAUACAUUCAGUCGAUCACAUACUCUAAGUAAAAGGACAAUAACAUACAUAUUAAGAGAAAACACCACCACACACACAUAUACAGAUAACACACACACUGCAAUCUUUCUUUGCCACACUAAACACAAGACUAAGACCAGGUGAUUACUUUGUCUACAUGUAACAUUUGACCAAGUGUUCAUUGAUAGGAAAAUUGUCUAUAUCAUUACUUGUUUUACUUUAUAUUGGAAGUCAUUUCUUUUGAAAGUCAUUUUUUGUCCAUUUCUUCCAAUUAGUUCUGGAGUUUUCUUUUUUUUUUUUUUUUUCACAAACCUGUACUUUUUAAAAAGCUACAUUUUUAGUUAUAUUAAAAUUAGAUAAGUUCUCAGUCAUUAAACAGCUCUUCCAAAAAAAAACAAAAAAAAAAAACAACAUAGUUAGCAUGCCAAAUAAAUAGAUUUUGAUCUAAUAUUUUUUCAAUUCCUUGAAUGUUUAGUUCUUAAAAGUUGUUUUUUUUUAUAGUAAACUUUCACUCAGGACAUUAAACUGUUUCUCUUUUCUGGCACUUUUAGAGCUCAAAAGUUCCUCUUCUUACUUUCCUCCUUUCUAUAAUUAUCUGAUCUUUUCCUUUGUCAGCUCAACUUUAAUAGUAAGCGUCCAUUACUGAAAGUAAAGAAUUUUUUUUUUGUUAGUCCUCACCCCAUCUUAGUAAGUCUUUUGUUACUAAGUAAAUCUUUUAGUCAUCUAUUUUUUUAAAUUGUUGGACUAGAGAUCUGUCGCUAGCUGGCCGUAGUGAUAGGGUUUCCACCUAGCAAUUUGGUAAUUAAUUCUAUUGGUGGAGUUCUUCAUAGCUUUUAUUUAUAAAAUGUCAAGUAUAAGUAAAUUUUUCAGCCCUUUGAAGUUGGCAAGCUUGUGUUGUAUUUAAUUUAAAUAAUUUUCAUCAGUGUUUUUGUCUAUCUUGGUCUGUUUUUUUUAUAUUUCUAUUUAUUCAGACAGUUUAAUAGAAAUACUUUGAUUCUUAGUCUACUAUUUGCAGAUUGAGUGAUUUUGUUUGGGUAUGAAUAGGAUUUUGGCAGAUUGAAUAUGUCCUGGGUAUGCCAGGUUUUUCUACAAAUAUUCUCCUAGCACUUACAACCUGAUGUACAAGUAAUGCUAUAAAGUUAGCAUUUAAAACAUUGGAAGUUUUCCGUAUUCACUUUUUACUCUAUUUUUGAUUGUCACAGUUGUAACUUUAACAACUUUAUUUUUGACAUGGCCAUUUUUGUGGCCAUGAAUAAUAUUUAGUUAAUUAUUUAGUCUGCUUUGUGUGUGCGCAAGCCCUCUCCAGCUAACUCCACAUCCAUUGAGGAUUUUGUAUACGUUUCUGUUUUGUUGGCUCAUGUUUUUGUGUUUGAUUAAAACCCUUAUUUGGAUCUUUUUAUUUUUUUUUGUUAGCUGCUGGAACUUAUAUUUAGUUAGCAUUUACCUUAACUUGAAAUUCAUGUUCAGGAUAGGAUUUUGGAUUAGGUUUUCUGUUGCUAGUUUAGUGUUAGGGUGAGGUUUUAUGCUAUCUAGAUAUAUUUUCCAUAUGAAAGUCCAUUAGGGCAUGUUUUGUUUUUGUUGUUUUGAUUGUCUGUUAUGUUUUAUAAGUUUGUUUUUAUGUCUUUCUUUUUUUUUUUGUCUUGUUUUUACGUCUGAAAUCCUUUCUGGGUGGUUUUAUUUUUUUUUGUUAGCUGCUGGAACUUAUAUUUAUUUGGCAUCAGCCUUCGAUCAAAAUUAUUUCGUUUCAUUAUUUGGUGUCUUAGCAGGUUAGGAAGUAGUUUAAUUUGUUUUUUGGGUUUACAGUUGUGCUGUAUGCCGUCUAAAUAUAUUUUCCUUUGAAAGUCACUGGCGUGGUUUGAAAUAAACUCGUAAACUUUGAGAGGGUUUGACACUAUAAAAUAUUUUCAAAUUUCUUCUAUUUAAAACAAUUUUUUUUAACCCUCCCCCAUCCCCUUUUUGAAAAUAUUUUAUAAUCAGAGCAGACAAAAUACUUGAUACAUUUACUUUUGAUACAUUUACUUUUCAUACAUUUACUUUUCAUACAUUUACUUUUCAUACAUUUACUUUUCAUACAUUUACUUUUGAUACAUUUUACUGUUCUCAUCCCCUUUCUCCCCAAUGUCACUAUACAGGAUUGAAGAUGUAGUGCUUGGUAUUAGAAUUUACUGAUUGAAGAUGUAGUGCUUGGUAUUAGAAUUUACUGAUUGAAGAUGUAGUGCUUGGUAUUUGGAUUUACUGAUUGAAGAUGUAGUGCUUUUUAUUAGAAUUUACUGAUUGAAGAUGUAGUGCUUGGUAUUUGGAUUUACUGAUUGAAGAUGUAGUGCUUGGUAUUAGAAUUUACUGAUUGAAGAUGUAGUGCUUUUUAUUAGAAUUUACUGAUUGAAGAUGUAGUGCUUGGUAUUAGAAUUUACUGAUUGAAGAUGUAGUGCUUGGUAUUUGGAUUUACUGUUUGUUGUACUUAAAAGUGAACACCAAGUAGUAGGCUAGUAAGUUGUUUUUUUUUUUUU